rnacentral:rRNA from 1 species
GACUGCGGAGAUCAUUACCGAGUUGAUUCGAGCUCCGGCUCGACUCUCCCACCCUAUGUGUACCUACCUCUGUUGCUUUGGCGGGCCGCGGUCCUCCGCACCGGCGCCCUUCGGGGGGCUGGCCAGCGCCCGCCAGAGGACCAUAAAACUCCAGUCAGUGAACUUCGCAGUCUGAAAAACAAGUUAAUAAACUAAAACUUUCAACAACGGAUCUCUUGGUUCUGGCAUCGAUGAAGAACGCAGCGAAAUGCGAUAAGUAAUGUGAAUUGCAGAAUUCAGUGAAUCAUCGAAUCUUUGAACGCACAUUGCGCCCCUUGGUAUUCCGAGGGGCAUGCCUGUUCGAGCGUCAUUUCAACCCUCAAGCUCUGCUUGGUAUUGGGCCCCGUCCUCCACGGACGCGCCUUAAAGACCUCGGCGGUGGCGUCUUGCCUCAAGCGUAGUAGAAAACACCUCGCUUUGGAGCGCACGGCGUCGCCCGCCGGACGAACCUUUGAAUUAUUUCUCAAGGUUGACCUCGGAUCAGGUAGGGAUACCCGCUGAACUUAAGCAUAUCU